GUGAAAAAUGGGCAGAAAUGGGGGGGAAAUGGGGCAGAAAUGGGGGCAAAUGGGGGCAGAAUGGGGACCUCCGCGCCUGUAGGGGGCGCUGCAGCCGCAGCCCUCCGCCUUCAGGUGCUCCACGUACUCUGCCAGGACCCAAAAUGACCCUUUUUCGACCCAAAAUGACCCAAAAUGCCACUUUUUGGGCCCCAAAAUCCCACCUUUUGGACCCUAAAUGGGGAUGGGUCCCAUAGGGGGAUACAGUGGGAGGAGGGAGCGAAGAAGGGAGGGGGGGGGGGGGGGUAUUGGGGUGGAAAUGGGGCAGAAUUGAGGGGAAAUGGGGGUCAGAAUGGACAGCAGAGGGGAAUAUUGGGGUGAAAUUGGGGGAAAUGGGGGAAAAAUGGGUGAAAAAUGGGCAGAAAUGGGGGGAAAAUGGGGCAGAAAUGGGGGCAAAUGGGGGCAGAAUGGGGACCUCCGCGCCUGUAGGGGGCGCUGCAGCCGCAGCCCUCCGCCUUCAGGUGCUGUAUGUGCUCUGCCAGGACCCAAAAUGCCACUUUUUCGACCCAAAAUGACCCAAAAUGCCACUUUUUGGGCCCCAAAAUCCCACCUUUUGGACCCUAAAUGGGGAUGGGUCCCAUAGGGGGAUACAGUGGGAGGAGGGAGCGAAGGGGAGGGGGGGGGGGGGGGGGGAUAUUGGGGUGGAAAUGGGGCAGAACUGGGGGGAAAUGGGGGUCAGAAUGGACAGCAGAGGGGAAUAUUGGGGUGAAAUUGGGGGAAAUGGGGGAAAAAUGGGUGAAAAAUGGGCAGAAAUGGGGGGGAAAAUGGGGCAGAAAUGGGGGCAAAUGGGGGCAGAAUGGGGACCUCCGCGCCUGUAGGGGGCGCUGCAGCCGCAGCCCUCCGCCUUCAGGUGCUCCACGUACUCUGCCAGGACCCAAAAUGCCCCUUUUUCGACCCAAAAUGACCCAAAAUGCCACUUUUUGGACCCCAAAAUCCCACCUUUUGGACCCUAAAUGGGGAUGGGUCCCAUAGGGGGAUACAGUGGGAGGAGGGAGUGGGGUGGAAGUGGGGGGGGGAUGGGGCAAAACUGGGGGGAAAUGGGGCAGAAUUGGGGGGAAAUGGGGGUCAGAAUGGACAGCAGAGAGGAAUAUUGGGGUGAAAUUGGGGGAAAUGGGGGAAAAAUGGGUGAAAAAAUGGGCAGAAAUGGGCAGAAAUGGGGGGAAAAUGGGGCAGAAAUGGGCGAAAUAGGGGCAGAAUUGGGCAAAAAAGGGCCAAAAGAGGUGGGAAUUGGGGAAAAUGGGCAGAAAUGGGGCAAAAUGGAGGGGAAAUGGGGCAAAAUUGGGGGCAAAAUUCCCCCCAUUUCCCCCCCAAUUUCCCCCAAUUCCCCAUUUCCCCC
ensembl:lncRNA